rnacentral:rRNA from 1 species
UGCAUAUCCAAUAAGCGGAGGAAAAGAAACCAACCGGGAUUGCCUCAGUAACGGCGAGUGAAGCGGCAAGAGCUCAAAUUUGAAAUCUGGCCCCCUCGGGGUCCGAGUUGUAAUUUGCAGAGGAUGCUUCGGGUGCGGUCCCCAUCUAAGUGCCCUGGAACGGGCCGUCAUAGAGGGUGAGAAUCCCGUCUGGGAUGGGCGGCCGCGCCCGUGUGAAGCUCCUUCGACGAGUCGAGUUGUUUGGGAAUGCAGCUCUAAGCGGGUGGUAAAUUUCAUCUAAAGCUAAAUACUGGCCGGAGACCGAUAGCGCACAAGUAGAGUGAUCGAAAGAUGAAAAGCACUUUGAAAAGAGAGUUAAACAGCACGUGAAAUUGUUGAAAGGGAAGCGUUGUCCACCAGACUCGCCCGGGGGGGUUCAGCCGGCACGUGUGCCGGUGUACUCCUCUCCGGGCGGGCCAGCAUCGGUUUGGGCGGCUGGUGAAAGGCCCCGGGAAUGUACCACCCUCCGGGGUGUCUUAUAGCCCGGGGUGCCAUACAGCCAGCCUGGACCGAGGCCCGCGCUUCG